UACGAAGGGGGCUAGCGUUGUUCGGAAUCACUGGGCGUAAAGCGCACGCAGGCGGAUUGAUAAGUCGGGGGUGAAAGCCUGUGGCUCAACCACAGAAUUGCCUUCGAUACUGUCGAGCUUGAGACCGGAAGAGGUAAGUGGAACUGCGAGUGUAGAGGUGAAAUUCGUAGAUAUUCGCAAGAACACCAGUGGCGAAGGCGGCUUACUGGUCCGGUACUGACGCUGAGGCGCGAAAGCGUGGGGAGCAAACAGG
rnacentral:rRNA from 1 species